rnacentral:rRNA from 1 species
GAUGAACGCUGGCGGCGUGCCUAAUACAUGCAAGUCGAGCGAACAGACGAGGAGCUUGCUCCUCUGACGUUAGCGGCGGACGGGUGAGUAACACGUGGAUAACCUACCUAUAAGACUGGGAUAACUUCGGGAAACCGGAGCUAAUACCGGAUAAUAUAUUGAACCGCAUGGUUCAAUAGUGAAAGACGGUUUUGCGGUCACUUAUAGAUGGAUCCGCGCCGCAUUAGCUAGUUGGUAAGGUAACGGCUUACCAAGGCAACGAUGCGUAGCCGACCUGAGAGGGUGAUCGCCCACACUGGAACUGAGACACGGUCCAGACUCCUACGGUAGGCCGCAGUAGGGAAUCUUCCGCAAUGGGCGAAAGCCUGACGGAGCAACGCCGCGUGAGUGAUGAAGGUCUUCGGAUCGUAAAACUCUGUUAUUAGGGAAGAACAAAUGUGUAAGUAACUAUGCACGUCUUGACGGUACCUAGUCAGAAAGCCACGGCUAACUACGUG